AUUCCUACGGGAGGCAGCAGGGGGGAAUAUUGGACAAUGGGCCACAAGCCUGAUCCAGCAAUUCUGUGUGCACGAUGAAGGUCUUCGGAUUGUAAAGUGCUUUCAGUUGGGAAGAAGAAAGUGACGGUACCAACAGAAGAAGCGACGGCUAAAUACGUGCCAGCAGCCGCGGUAAUA
rnacentral:rRNA from 1 species